GUUCUCUCUCUCGCUCACUCUCCCCCCCCCGCCCCCUCCCUCUCAAUCUCUCCUUCUCUCAUGUGCUUGGAAUAUGCUCAGGGUUAACUCAGAGCAACCGAAGCACGCGUAAUGAACUGAGUAUUAGCGGCAAUUUUAAAGGAAGGGACGGCCUUGGAAGGCUGGAUAUUUGGCGGACUGUCCAACGGGUCCCACACAGCAUGUAUCUUAUCUGGGAUGAUUUCUGAUUGCAUAUGCCGAUUUCGGCGAUGCUUCUCGCGCAGUUUGAGAAAGAGAAAUAUGGCCCUGAUUCCCCUGCUCAGGAGAGAGGCCAAAUGGACAUGUCUGUCUGGGACUUUGCCUACUGCUGAACCAACAUGAGCUCAGGUGAGAGAGGAGUCAUCAGGAGCCAGACAGAGAGUACCAGGAUAACGGCUGUGUCCAUGUGUUAAGGAUGACCCACAGAUCACAGAGAUGGAGCAUCUAUCUGCGUGACCCUUUACUGUUGUCUCUAGUGGGGCUCGAGACAUGGGCUUCGAUCACCACCUGAACAUCAACAUGCACAACCAUCAAGAUACAGUACACUGAGAAGACAGAUACAGAACUCUACUAUUUAUAAUCAGCAUGCAUACACCUGUUCUAGAUACACAGAAACCACCAAAUACACACUAACAUCCUUUGAAUCAAGUCAGUUUUUUGUAUCAUUGUGAUUUAAAUCUGUAAGUUGUAAAACUGUUUACCAUAUGUCUACUCACUGGGAUGUAGAAGUACAACAUUAUUUAUUCUGAAUUGUAAAAGUCUGUAUUAGUAUAUUGGAUUUUGAAUGAACCUGUCCUUAGAAUACAGCAUAACAUCUGAAGGGAACCCGCAGGACACAUUGUCUUUAUCUGGCAUUGACUGAAUUUAUAGAAAAAGUAAACAUCAAAGGGAAUAUUUUUGUACUUUCUCAAAUCACUGUAUUUUCUCAGUGAGCAGAAUAAAAUAUAUUCAAGAAUAUCUUGUUUCUGAGUUUUUUACAGUAUGUCUACAGUACUGUAUAUACCUUUGACAUGACUAGAUCCUCUGUGGGAUCAAUGUGGAAUGGGUGCUGAUCAAAAUAAAACAACAUGGCUGACA